rnacentral:misc_RNA from 1 species
AAAAUAAAAAAUUUAUCAUGUUUCCUUUUUUUUAUUAAAUCGGAUCAUGGAAUUGGAUCUUUUCAAAGAUUUCAUUAUUUUUGAUGAUCUUAAAUUUUAUGUUAUACACAUGGCUAUAUAUAAACUGAACCAAAACGAGCAAUUAUUUAUAAUUUAUCUCAUUUAGUGAUGUUUUAUUAAGCCAAAUAUGAUUAUUUGGGUAUUUAAUAUCUUCAAAAUCAUAAACAUAUUUUAA